rnacentral:rRNA from 1 species
GAUGAACGCUGGCGGCGUGCCUAAUACAUGCAAGUCGAGCGAACGGACGAGAAGCUUGCUUCUCUGAUGUUAGCGGCGGACGGGCGAGUAACACGUGGAUAACCUACCUAUAAGACUGGGAGAACUUCGGGAAACCGUAGCUAAUACCGGAUAAUAUUUUGAACCGCAUGGUUCAAAAGUGAAAGACGGUCUUGCUGUCACUUAUAGAUGGAGCCGCGCUGCAUUAGCUAGUUGGUAAGGUAACGGCUUACCAAGGCAACGAUGCAUAGCCGACCUGAGAGGGUGAUCGGCCACACUGGAACUGAGACACGGUCCAGACUCCUACGGGAGGCAGCAGUAGGGAAUCUUCCGCAAUGGGCGAAAGCCUGACGGAGCCACGCCGCGUGAGUGAUGAAGGUCUUCGGAUCGUAAAGCUCUGUUAUUAGGGAAGAACAUAUGUGUAAGUAACUGUGCACAUCUUGACGGUACCUAAUCAGAAAGCCACGGCUAACUACGUG